rnacentral:rRNA from 1 species
AUUGAACGCUGGCGGAAUGCUUUACACAUGCAAGUCGAACGGCAGCACGGACUUCGGUCUGGUGGCGAGUGGCGAACGGGUGAGUAAUGUAUCGGAACGUGCCCAGUCGUGGGGGAUAACGUAGUGAAAAUUACGCUAAUACCGCAUACGAUCUAUGGAUGAAAGCGGGGGAUCGCAAGACCUCGCGCGAUUGGAGCGGCCGAUAUCAGAUUAGGUAGUUGGUGGGGUAAAGGCCCACCAAGCCAACGAUCUGUAGAUGGUCUGAGAGGACGACCAGCCAAACUGGAACUGAGACACGGUCCAGACUCCUACGGGAGGCAGCAGUGGGGAAGUUUAGACAAUGGGCGAAAGCGUGAUCCAGCCAUUCCGCGUGCAGGAUGAAGGCCCUCGGGUUGUAAACUGCUUUUGUACAGAACGAAAAGGUUUCUACUAAUACUAGGAGCUCAUGACGGUACUGUAAGAAUAAGCACCGGCUAACUACGUGCCAGCCGCCGCAGUAA